rnacentral:rRNA from 1 species
UACGGGGGGGGCAAGCGUUGUCCGGAUUUAUUGGGCGUAAAGAGCUCGUAGGCGGCUCGGUAAGUCGGGUGUGAAAUUUCGAGGCUUAACCUCGAAAUGCCACCCGAUACUGCUGUGGCUAGAGUCCGGUAGGGGAGCGUGGAAUUCCUGGUGUAGCGGUGAAAUGCGCAGAUAUCAGGAGGAACACCAGCGGCGAAGGCGGCGCUCUGGGCCGGUACUGACGCUGAGGAGCGAAAGCGUGGGGAUCAAACAGG